rnacentral:tRNA from 1 species
CAAAUUAGAGCUUGAUUAAGCAUUUUAUUUACAUUAAAAAGAUAGUUUAAAAACUUAAUUUGA